UACGGAAGGCAGCAGUGGGGAAUAUUGCACAAUGGGCGCAAGCCUGAUGCAGCCAUGCCGCGUGUAUGAAGAAGGCCUUCGGGUUGUAAAGUACUUUCAGUCGUGAGGAAGGUGUUAAGGUUAAUAACCUUAGCAAUUGACGUUAGCGACAGAAGAAGCACCGGCUAACUCCGUGCCAGCAGCCGCGGUAAUACGGAGGGUGCGAGCGUUAAUCGGAAUUACUGGGCGUAAAGGGCACGCAGGCGGUUAAUUAAGUUGGAUGUGAAAUCCCCGGGCUUAACCUGGGAAUGGCAUUCAAGACUGGUUAGCUAGAGUCUUGUAGAGGGGGUAGAAUUCCAUGUGUAGCGGUGAAAUGCGUAGAGAUGUGGAGGAAUACCGGGUGGCGAAGGCGGCCCCUGGGACAAAGGACUGACGCUCAUGUGCGAAAGCUGGGGAGCAAACAGGAUUAGAUACC
rnacentral:rRNA from 1 species